rnacentral:lncRNA from 1 species
CCCAAUCUACCACGCCCUCUGCAUCAUCCCAUUGCAGCGGUAGCGCGUCUUCCUUAUCCCGUUUGAUGGGGGGUCGUGAAUCGCUUUCUAGGAAGGAAGAGCUGUCCGUGAUGUCCUGGCCGUUUGAUCCAAGUAGCCUCCGUCUGCACAAAGGUCGGGUUCAAUGAAGCAGUAGAAGAGGUCGCGGAAGCCCGCCAAGAUGCCAAGAUAUCAUCAUGUAGAUGGAUAAUCGACCGUUACCUCUCAGCAGCACGAGGAGCCUUCCGAGGAGGGAGGCUUUUAGGAUCGUACGUGGGGAGGGUUGCAAUUGGCGCGCUUUAAAAAUCAUAGCGGAUCAUCCUGUUGAUGACAGUGAACGGUAGUAGUCAGCUCUUCCCCUCCGCACAAGGAAAAGGAAAUGGAAGAACAGCAUAUGAUUAGUCCCGGGGAAGAGAUUGCAGACGAGUGUGAGAGCACGUUUCUGCUUGCAGGUGGGGCGAGGUGAGCUGGAGAAAGGAGGGG